rnacentral:rRNA from 1 species
UACGAAGGGGGCUAGCGUUGCUCGGAAUUACUGGGCGUAAAGCGCACGUAGGCGGCUUUCUAAGUCGGGGGUGAAAUCCUGGAGCUCAACUCCAGAACUGCCUUCGAUACUGGAGAGCUCGAGUCCGGGAGAGGUGAGUGGAACUGCGAGUGUAGAGGUGAAAUUCGUAGAUAUUCGCAAGAACACCAGUGGCGAAGGCGGCUCACUGGCCCGGUACUGACACUGAGGUGCGAAAGCGUGGGGAGCAAACAGG